rnacentral:misc_RNA from 1 species
GAACUGCGAUAAUUAAUGUGAAUUGCAGAAUUCAGUGAAUCAUCGAGUCUUUGAACGCACAUUGCGCCCCCUGGUAUUCCGGGGGGCAUGCCUGUCCGAGCGUCAUUGCUGCCCAUCAAGCCCGGCUUGUGUGUUGGGUGCCGUCCCCCCGGAAGGGGAGACGCACCUGAAAGGCAGCGGCGGCACCGUGUUUCGGUCCUCGAGCGUAUGGGGCUUUGUCACCCGCUUGAUUAGGACCGGCCGGGCGCCUGCCGGUGUUGACCCACCCCCCCCCCAAUCUUUAACCAGGUUGACCUCGGAUCAGGUAGGGAUACCCGCUGAACUUAA